AUUCACUUAAAAUUUGUCUUAUCUGUAACAGCGGUACAAUUAAGCUAUCGGAUUUUAUAUACAAUUACCGAAAACGCCAAAGAUAACAGAUGUGCGAGCUCACGCGGUUCAUGCCGGAGAGUUGCUAACACUGACCUAACAAGAGCAGUGCUUCGCAGAAUCUACCACCGGAUCGGAAACGCUAGUUAGCAACUUUUUAAUUUGUAAUAUGUACGUAUUUUAGUAGAAAAAAUUAGUACCUGCUUGCGAUAUUUAAAAUCUUCAUAGUCACAUUGUCCGACAUGAGUGUAUUUGUUGUAAUUGUUUCACGGUUAAAGUAAAGAGAGUGGAUUACAAAUUUGGUAAUGAUAGUAAGAUGUACUGUGAAUCACAAAUAAAAUAAAAAAGUCCGGAAAACUUGUUUGUAAAUUAA